UUUUACCGUGAGUAAAUAAUGUUGACAUACUGUUCAAAUAAACCCACAAUUUACUGCAAUCUGUUUUUAGAGAAACCCUCCACUUUAACCUCCAAAUAGGAAAAAACGAAGAGACUUUCCUCUUCUCAUUUAAUCAAGAACAUAUGUUCAAAGAUAAUACCGGAGGCUUAUUCUGGGAAGCGUUCUGCUCUUCCUCCGACAGCCACGCAGCGAGCUCACGAGGCAGCCUCCACACAUAAUGAAAGCAAACGCCACCAUAAAUCUCCCGCUCGGCGGAGGUCACUUCAGAAAAAUCGCCCGCUGCUCAGAUAAGCACCAGCUUUGCUGAGGAACAUGGAAGGGGGAAAACACCGACUGUGAUAAACACCAGCAGCUCCCUGCCUUCCACCUCCCUGCUGCAAAAUGGAUCAAUCUAUAAUAAGUAGUAGUUAUAUAUCAUAAGGCAGCAAUUCCUUUUAGUUGUUCCACUAUAAAAAAGCAUCCAGAUUUAGAACUUGACAGGAACCAGUAUCGCCUGCCCCCCAGAGCCGGCAGAAAGUCUGUGUAUGUCAUUCAGCCAGCAU
rnacentral:lncRNA from 1 species